UAGAUUCCGUUCUUUAUGUCCUUGGCUGUCCUUUUAGUCUUGCAUCUGUUAGUCGUUUGACUCGUGCCCUCCAUUGUGGUAUAUAUUUUAUUGACGAUUCUUUUAUUAUGCAGGACCGCAGUACGGGACAGACAAUUGGUACAGGACGUGAAUCAGAAGGCCUUUACUACCUUAACUCACUCAAUCCUUCCAAAACAUGUCUAGUUACAGAUCCUCCAAACCUAAUCCACAGACGUUUAGGACAUCCGAGUUUAUCCAAACUUCAGAAGAUGGUGCCUAGUUUAUCUAGUUUGUCUACAUUAGAUUGUGAGUCGUGUCAGCUUGGGAAACAUACCCGAGCCUCCUUUCCGCGUAGUGUUGAAAGUCAUGCAGAGUCUGUUUUCUCCUUAGUUCAUUCUGAUAUAUGGGGUUCUAGUAGAGUUAGUUCAACCUUAGGAUUUCGUUAUUUUGUUAGUUUUAUUGAUGAUUAUUCAAGAUGUACUUGGCUUUUCUUAAUGAAAGAUCGUUCUGAGUUAUUUUCUAUAUUCCAGAGUUUCUGUGCUGAAAUCAAAAACCAAUUUGGUGUUUCUAUUCGCAUUUUUUGUAGUGAUAAUGCCUUAGAAUAUUUAUCUUCUUAGUUUCAGCAGUUUAUGACUUCUC
rnacentral:lncRNA from 1 species